rnacentral:rRNA from 1 species
GUCCACGCCCUAAACGAUGUCAACUGGGUGUUGGGGAAGCGAUUCCUUGGUACCGUAGCUAACGCGUGAAGUUGACCGCCUGGGGAGUACGGCCGCAAGGUUAAAACUCAAAGGAAUUGACGGGGACCCGCACAAGCGGUGGAUGAUGUGGAUUAAUUCGAUGCAACGCGAACAACCUUACCUACCCUUGACAUGUGCCGGAGCCUGCUGAGAGGCGGGUGUGCCCGAAAGGGAACGGCAACACAGGUGCUGCAUGGCUGUCGU